rnacentral:rRNA from 1 species
AUUGAACGCUGGCGGCAGGCCUAACACAUGCAAGUCGAGCGGCAGCGGGAAAGUAGCUUGCUACUUUUGCCGGCGAGCGGCGGACGGGUGAGUAAUGCCUGGGAAAUUGCCCAGUCGAGGGGGAUAACAGUUGGAAACGACUGCUAAUACCGCAUACGCCCUACGGGGGAAAGCAGGGGACUUUCGGGCCUUGCGCGAUUGGAUAUGCCCAGGUGGGAUUAGCUAGUUGGUGAGGUAAUGGCUCACCAAGGCGACGAUCCCUAGCUGGUCUGGAAGGAUGAUCAGCCACCCUGGAACUGAGACACGGUCCAGACUCCUACGGGAGGCAGCAGUGGGGAAUAUUGCACAAUGGGGGAAACCCUGAUGCAGCCAUGCCGCGUGUGUGAAGAAGGCCUUCGGGUUGUAAAGCACAUUCAGCGAGGAGGAAAGGUUGAUGCCUAGUACGUAUCAACUGUGACGUUACUCGCAGAAGAAGCACCGGCUAACUCCGUGCCAGCAGCCGCCGUAAGAC